ACGCUCGACACCUACGGAGGCAGCAGUGGGGAAUAUUGGGCAAUGGAGGCAACUCUGACCCAGCAACGCCGCGUGAAUGAUGAAGGUCUUCGGAUUGUAAAGUUCUGUGACGGGGGACGAACACAAUGACGGUACCCCGAUAGCAAGCCACGGCUAACUACGUGUCAGCAGCCGCGGUAAUCUGAGCGGGCUGGCAAGGC
rnacentral:rRNA from 1 species